rnacentral:rRNA from 1 species
UACGAAGGGGGCUAGCGUUGUUCGGAAUUACUGGGCGUAAAGCGUGUGUAGGCGGCUAGGCAAGUCGGAUGUGAAAGCCCCGGGCUCAACCCGGGAAGUGCACUCGAUACUGCAGAGCUUGAGUAUCGGAGAGGUUGGUGGAAUUCUCGGUGUAGAGGUGAAAUUCGUAGAUAUCGAGAGGAACAUCGGCGGCGAAGGCGGCCAACUGGACGAAUACUGACGCUGAGACACGAAAGCGUGGGGAGCAAACAGG